rnacentral:tRNA from 1 species
GACGGUAUAGUUCAGUGGGAGAGCCCUUGCCUAGCAUGCAUGAGGUCCUUGGUUCAAUCCCCAGUACCUCUA